rnacentral:lncRNA from 1 species
AGGAGAUGGAGGAGGAGGAGAUGGAGGAGGAGAUGGAGGAGGAGGAGAUGGAGGAGGAGAUGGAGGAGGAGGAGAUGGAGGAGGAGAUGGAGGAGGAGGUGGAGGAGGUGGAGGAGGAGGAGAUGGAGGAGGAGAUGGAGGAGGAGGAGAUGGAGGAGGAGAUGGAGGAGGAGGAGAUGGAGCAGAGCUGAAGCAGAAGAGGAAGAGAAGAAGGAAAAGAAAGAGAAGAAAGAGACAGAGAAGGAGGAGAAGGUGAAGAAAAGCGAAGAAAGAAGAAGAGGAAUAGGAGGCAGCAGUGGAGGAAUAGGAGGCAGGCACGUCCCUGAGCAGUCUUGUGGUACCAGAAAGCAAGGAAAUGUUCAAACACGAAAAGACAGGGUGGCAGAAGUCACCCUGAAGGAGCUCUCGGUGGCUAAAUCUGGAGUGAUUCCAACAAGAAUAUAAAAUAAAAUUGGAUUGUAACCCAGAGUACAA